CACAAGGUAUACCCAGAGAUUUCAAAUAGGAAUCCACAAGGUGAAUAGUUUUCAGGCCUGUUGCAGCCUUGCUGAGUUCUCUGCAACAGAAGAAUAGCUCUGCCAUGUUUCUGUCACCAAAACACAAGGGAAAAGUAAGAGCUGCCACUUUCUGAAGGAAGGACACCUCGAGUCCGGCAAGGUGGUGCCGCAAGCCUAAAAGGAUGAGAACAGCUGCCCUAGAAGGGGCCUGGUAGUCUCUCUGACACAGCUGAGCUAUUCUGAAAACUUCAGCCAUUCACAGAACACAGCCAGGCUUUCCAAGUCCUGGCAGCAUCUGCGAAAGCUUCUCCAGUGGGUGCUGAAGGUGGAAGGAGGCCACGGUAAAAAGCAAAUCUCAAAGAUAGUCUGAGUUCUGUGCUGAGGACUGGAUGAAAGUAGCAACACAUCUUUUCUAGGAGGAGCCAGAGAUCUGGAGUUGCAUAACAGCAACAUUUUUCCCCUGUGUAGAAGAGGAAAGUUCAAGCUGAAAAGAACUGUGAUUGCAGUAACUUCAACUUCUUCUUUCUGCAACAUUUCUGCUAUAAAAUCUAUAGAUGGCACAAGUUUUACUUCUUUCUUCACCUGUACUAUCUUAUAAAUAAAAUUAAUGAUUCAUCA